AUUUCUUAUCUCAUGUCUGCUUUUCGUGAAAAAAUACCAAUUGAAGUGGAGGGUUUCUUCAAACAACAAGGGGCU